rnacentral:rRNA from 1 species
GACGAACGCUGGCGGCGUGCUUAACACAUGCAAGUCGAACGGUAAGGCCUUUCGGGGUACACGAGUGGCGAACGGGUGAGUAACACGUGGGUGAUCUGCCCUGCACUUCGGGAUAAGCCCGGGAAACUGGGUCUAAUACCGGAUAGGACUGCGCGGUGCAUGCCGUGUGGUGGAAAGAUUUAUCGGUGCAGGAUGGGCCCGCGGCCUAUCAGCUUGUUGGUGGGGUAAUGGCCUACCAAGGCGACGACGGGUAGCCGGCCUGAGAGGGCGACCGGCCACACUGGGACUGAGACACGGCCCAGACUCCUCCGGGAGGCAGCAGUGGGGAAUAUUGCACAAUGGGCGCAAGCCUGAUGCAGCGACGCCGCGUGAGGGAUGACGGCCUUCGGGUUGUAAACCUCUUUCAGCAGGGACGAAGCGUGAGUGACGGUACCUGCAGAAGAAGCACCGGCCAACUACGUG